UACGUAGGGUGCAAGCGUUGUCCGGAAUUAUUGGGCGUAAAGAGCUCGUAGGUGGUCUGUUACGUCUGCUGUGAAAUCCUAGGGCUUAACCCUGGGCCUGCAGUGGAUACGGGCAGACUAGAGGUAGGUAGGGGAGAAUGGAAUUCCCGGUGUAGCGGUGAAAUGCGCAGAUAUCGGGAGGAACACCGGUGGCGAAGGCGGCUCGCUGGGACGGUACUGACACUGAGACGCGAAAGCGUGGGGAGCAAACAGG
rnacentral:rRNA from 1 species